rnacentral:rRNA from 1 species
AUACGUAGGGGGCGAGCGUUGUCCGGAUUUACUGGGCGUAAAGGGUGAGUAGGCGGUUAUGUAUGUCAGGUGUAAAAGGCGUAGGCUUAACUUACGUUAGCGCUUGAAACUGCAUAACUUGAGUGCAGGAGAGGUAAGUGGAAUUCCUAGUGUAGCGGGGAAAUGCGUAGAUAUUAGGAGGAACACCAGUGGCGAAGGCGACUUACUGGACUGUAACUGACGCUGAGUCACGAAAGCGUGGGUAGCAAACAGGAUUAGAUACCCUGGUAGUCCACGCUGUAAACGAUGAGUGCUAGGUGUUGGGUAGCGAUAUUCAGUGCCGAAGUAAACACAAUAAGCACUCCGCCUGGGGAGUACGGUCGCAAGACUGAAACUCAAAGGAAUUGACGGGG